GCUUAACACAUGCAAGUCGAGGGGCAGCAUGGUCCUAUCUUGCUAAGGCCGAUGGCGACCGGCGCACGGGUGAGUAACACGUAUCCAACCUGCCGUCUACUCUUGGACAGCCUUCUGAAAGGAAGAUUAAUACAAGAUGGCAUCAUGAGUCCGCAUGUUCACAUGAUUAAAGGUAUUCCGGUAGGCGAUGGGGAUGCGUUCCAUUAGAUAGUAGGCGGGGUAACGGCCCACCUAGUCUUCGAUGGAUAGGGGUUCUGAGAGGAAGGUCCCCCACAUUGGAACUGAGACACGGUCCAAACUCCUACGGGAGGCAGCAGUGAGGAAUAUUGGUCAAUGGGCGAGAGCCUGAACCAGCCAAGUAGCGUGAAGGAUGACUGCCCUAUGGGUUGUAAACUUCUUUUAUAAAGGAAUAAAGUCGGGUAUGGAUACCCGUUUGCAUGUACUUUAUGAAUAAGGAUCGGCUAACUCCGUGCCAGCAGCCGCGGUAAUACGGAGGAUCCGAGCGUUAUCCGGAUUUAUUGGGUUUAAAGGGAGCGUAGAUGGAUGUUUAAGUCAGUUGUGAAAGUUUGCGGCUCAACCGUAAAAUUGCAGUUGAUACUGGAUAUCUUGAGUGCAGUUGAGGCAGGCGGAAUUCGUGGUGUAGCGGUGAAAUGCUUAGAUAUCACGAAGAACUCCGAUUGCGAAGGCAGCCUGCUAAGCUGCAACUGACAUUGAGGCUCGAAAGUGUGGGUAUCAAACAGGAUUAGAUACCCUGGUAGUCCACACGGUAAACGAUGAAUACUCGCUGUUUGCGAUAUACUGCAAGCGGCCAAGCGAAAGCGUUAAGUAUUCCACCUGGGGAGUACGCCGGCAACGGUGAAACUCAAAGGAAUUGACGGGGGCCCGCACAAGCGGAGGAACAUGUGGUUUAAUUCGAUGAUACGCGAGGAACCUUACCCGGGCUUAAAUUGCAGAUGAAUUACGGUGAAAGCCGUAAGCCGCAAGGCAUCUGUGAAGGUGCUGCAUGGUUGUCGUCAGCUCGUGCCGUGAGGUGUCGGCUUAAGUGCCAUAACGAGCGCAACCCUUGUUGUCAGUUACUAACAGGUUCCGCUGAGGACUCUGACAAGACUGCCAUCGUAAGAUGUGAGGAAGGUGGGGAUGACGUCAAAUCAGCACGGCCCUUACGUCCGGGGCUACACACGUGUUACAAUGGGGGGUACAGAGGGCCGCUACCACGCGAGUGGAUGCCAAUCCCCAAAACCUCUCUCAGUUCGGACUGGAGUCUGCAACCCGACUCCACGAAGCUGGAUUCGCUAGUAAUCGCGCAUCAGCCACGGCGCGGUGAAUACGUUCCCGGGCCUUGUACACACCGCCCGUCAAGCCAUGGGAGCCGGGGGUACCUGAAGUGCGUAACCGCGAGGAGCGCCCUAGGGUAAAACUGGUGACUGGG
rnacentral:rRNA from 1 species